UUGUUUGGGCGCCGUGGGCGGAUCCACAG
rnacentral:sRNA from 1 species